CCUCUCUCUCUCUCUCUCUCUCUCUCUCUUUCUUUCCUCUCCUCCUCUUUCUUUUCCUCCCUCCCUCUUCCUCUCUUCCUCCCCCUUUUUUUCUUCUUCCCGCCGGCUGCCCCAUCUUCCCCGCCGCCGCCAGCCUUCUCCUCCCUCUCGCUGCUGCAGCACCGUCUUCCUCUCCUCCUUUCCACUCCGCGCGACGUCGACCGAAGGAAAGGACUGCCGUCGUCUGUUCGGCUCCUUGCCGGCGUCCGUUUGGUGAUCUAACGCCGGAAACGGACUCCCCACCACCCGAAAACCCCGGAAACGACUCUCUCCUGCCGGAAAAUCCCCGCCGGCAGCCUCGGGAAGCGUCACCGGUGCAGCCUCUUUCCGGACCCGAUCCGGCGCCUUCCGGCCGAAAUUCUUGUACUUCCGGAGUUCCCGCAACUCGAGCUUCGCGUAGGCGCUUCCUAAUUCAAAUUCCGACACCGUUGGCAGGACCGGCUUCUGGACCUCGAUAUUUCGGGAUUGAUAAUCUAGUCUUACCGCCAGCUCUACUGAGGUAUAGGAGCGGACUGCGGAACGCGUUAGAACUUAAUAGUUAGAGUUCUUCGCCAUCCUGCAUUGUGACAGUCCGUCUUCUCCUCCUUCGGACUUUUUGUAAAUAACUUGUACUUUCAUAUUUUUGUUAUUAUAUACUCUAGACCUUUUGCAAUAGAGUACUUUCAAAUUGUUAUGACU